rnacentral:rRNA from 1 species
UCCACGCCGUAAACGAUGAUCACUCGUUGUUGGCAAUACAUCGUCAGCGGCUGAGCGAAAGCAUUAAGUGAUCCACCUGGGGAGUACGUUCGCAAGAAUGAAACUCAAAGGAAUUGACGGGGGCCCGCACAAGCGGAGGAACAUGUGGUUUAAUUCGAUGAUACGCGAGGAACCUUACCUGGGCUUAAAUGUAGGAUGACAGACUGGGAAACUAGUUCUUCUUCGGACAGACUACAAGGUGCUGCAUGGUUGUCGUCAGCUCGUGCCGUGAGGUGUCGGGUUAAGUCCCAUAACGAGCGCAACCCUCAUCAUUAGUUGCCAG